rnacentral:rRNA from 1 species
UCAGGACGAACGCUGGCGGCGUGCCUAACACAUGCAAGUCGAACGGAGAAGGGUUUCGAUUCUUACUUAGUGGCGAACGGGUGAGUAACGCGUGAACAACCUGCCUUCCUGAGGGGGAUAACACCUGGAAACAAGUGCUAAUACCGCAUAAGACCACAUAUCCGCAUGGAUGAGGGGUCAAAGGAGCAAUCCGCAGGGAGAGGGGUUCGCGUCCCAUUAGCUAGUUGGCGGGGCAACGGCCCACCAAGGCGACGAUGGGUAGCCGAGCUGAGAGGCUGAUCGGCCACACUGGAACUGAGACACGGUCCAGACUCCUACGGGAGGCAGCAGUGGGGAAUAUUGGGCAAUGGGCGCAAGCCUGACCCAAGCAACGCCGCGUGAGGGAAGAAGGUCUUCGGAUUGUAAACCUCUGUCCUAUGUGACGAAGGAAGUGACGGUAGCAUAGGAGGAAGCCCCGGCUAACUACGUGCCAGCCGCAGC